rnacentral:tRNA from 1 species
AGCAGCAUGGCGCAGUGGAAGCGCGUUGGGCUCAUAUAUUAUGGUACCCAAAGGUCGCUCGAUCGAAACGAGCUGCUGCUA